AAAAGGGAACCGUUGGAGCCAGACUGGCUUGUCUGUAAUCAAUCUAGGUUUCGUGCCUGGAUGCACUUGCAGACUAUUUGCCUGCCAACGACAAUUUUUUUUGAGUGUAAAAACUAUUGGAAAUGUGGCCAAUAUUUAUUUAUUGGUGUUAUAGUCCUUUAGAAAAUACCUUGAAUUGGAUUGAGGAACGCAGCGAAUGCUUCUCUUUUGAGGCAAAGUCUUUUAUUGGGAUUUACGGAUCAGACUGUGGCAUUGUCACAAGACUUGAAGUUUAAACCUAUUUUUGAACUUUUAUUCGCUUAGGUUGUUGGCUUAAUGACUCUAAAUGACCCGUCUUGAAACACGGACCAAGGAGUCCACCAUUAGUGCGAGUAUUUGGGUGCCAAACCCAUAUGCGCAAGGAAACUGAAUGAUAUGAAUCCAUUUAGGAGGCAAUAUCGUCCGGCGUUGACGUUUUAUACUGAAGUGACCGAGAUAAAGCACUAAUGAUGGGACCCGAAAGAUGGUGAACUAUGCCUGAAUAGGGUGAAGCCAGAGGAAACUCUGGUGGAGGCUCGUAGCGAUUCUGACGUGCAAAUCGAUCGUCAAAUUUGGGUAUAGGGGCGAAAG
rnacentral:rRNA from 1 species